GUGUCUGCAAGGAUUUCCUUCAGUGAAAAUGGGUAAUGCCAGUAGAAAAUCUUCAUUUCCUUACAAAAAAGUUUGGCUUCAGAAAAAAAUAAGACUUCUUUGGAUUGAAAAAUGAUACAUCUACAUGGCAGACAUGGAUUGGAUAAUAUGGUUACUUGAACACUGGAUUUGCAAAUGCAGAACAGCUGACUUAUGUUUCACAUGUCAGUUGGAGAUUUUCUGGGCAAAAUUUCUAGUAACUCAGCAUUUGAUUGACACAUCAGUGAGGAAGGUUCAUUUUAGUUCGUCAUAUUGUAGUUUCACCCCAUCUGUCAUUUGUACCAAUUCUAGAUAUUGUCCAUAACAAGUCUUCAUGUUUACAUUCUUGCCAAUGGUGCUGAUACUUUUUUUGUCACAACCACUUGUUUCAGCUGUUCCAAGUAUUGAAGCAUUACUUAUGCAAGUACUUAGAGAGGGCUGCCCUUUACAAAAGAAGAGCUUAUCACGUUGCUGUGAUGGUAUGUUUGCAAAACUGGAAAAAAUUCUGUCCUAUGGUGGCCUUAAGUAUGUGCUCAACAUUUUGAAAAAUGUGAACAGCAAAAACAGUUGGUCAGAAUUUCAAACGUCAAAAGUACUUAUUUCUGGAAAAUCAGUUAAUCUACAUGCUGAUUUUCUGCUGUUCCAUCAGUCACUAUGCAGUGUGUUUGGACAACCUAAGCAUUCUUGAAUCAGACUGCUUCAGCUUAUAACGAAGAUGUAUUGCUUGUCAUGCCCGGUGACCAACUUCACAGGACUAUGUUCAAAUUUAGAUUACAGGCCUAGUAUGAAAGAGAUCAAGUAUAUUACCGAAAUUGGCUAUCUCAAUUCGCGACUUCCGAACUCAUCCUCAGUCUGUCAUUCUGAUGCAGGGGUCCUGAAAGAAGUUGGAACGUUUUGAACCGUCUCAGCCAAUAAGUAUUAGAAAAUAGGUAGUCGCUUAAUGAUUAGUUUCUUCGCUGCCCGUCAACUUACCAUCCAAGCAAGCACUAUGUCUGUCAAACCAUUAGCUGAAUACAGUUAAUACCAGUAGUUAACCAAAAGAAGAGGU